ensembl:lncRNA
GUUGGGCCAACCUGGCUUUUAAUCCUGGUACUCGACUUACUAGUUGUAUGGCUUUGGAAAAGUCACCUGGUCUAUCUGUGAGUCUUAACUCUCAUCUGCAGAGUGGGCGUGCUGCACUCACUGGUGGGGUGUGUGUGAGGAUUAAACAAGGUAAUGACUGUAAGAAUCUGGAGCAGCACGUGGGGCAGAGUCGGUACUCAGUAAAUGGCAGCUGUCAGAAAUGUUUCAGCCAGAAGAGACCUCAGGUCGUCCGUCCAACAGAUGGAAGAGGAGGCCCAGAAAGAUUAGGGAGGAUGAUGGAAUUCCUAUGAGGUCACACAGUGAGGGAGUGGGUGCCGGAUGGCAAAGAUUCUGGAAUCUUCAGCGUCCCCAGGCAGGUGCCGGCUCUGGAACAGAGGGAGGGGUGCGUGUGAGUGUUGGGGGGUAGGGACAGAUCAUAGCUCUUUCCAGGGUUACGACGAGUGCUCAGAGGGACAUAAAACUUGCCUUCUAAGUGUGUGUGACACCGUAUCACAUCUGUAACUGAAGGGGCCUUGUCUGUGUGCUCUUGAUCAAAACCCCAGGCACUGGCCUCCCUCUUUGGUCUGUUUACCUCUGGUCUCCAAGCUUGGACCCAUCGUGGCGGCCGUUGCUCUGGCUGGAGAUUGAUUCGUGGUUGACAGAACUUACUUCUGCAUGCCUAGUGUCUGCUACAAUAUGCAGUAUGCAUUUCUAUAUGCAGUUAGAACUCAGAAGGAAAUCAGCAUCGUUUGGGAUAGCGGCAACUCACAUCCUUUCUCCAGCUACAUUUUUCAAAAGCAGAACGGGGAUGAAGCGCUUGGGCCCAUAUCUCUUUGGCUCUUCUUGUCCUGUGGUGAGGAAACCAAGCCACAGAGAAGUGGAACCGUAAACAGUGCCAGGACAGACAGGCUCGUUUCAUUCAGCAUUGACUUUCACAAACAAGGGAAAGGAGGCCGACGAGGAGAUGUCCAAAGUCACAGUGUUGUGCCGUGACCGACCGGGGAGGGCCCAUUGGUCGCCAGACAGGAGCAGAAACCACUGGAAGAACGCAGGUGUCCCUGCCAUCACCCACACACCACUUCUACAAAACCACCCGAAUUGGUGAGAACUGACUUGUUUUCCUACCUCCCAACCUUGAGACCCCUACUUCCUUCUUUCUCGGCCUUGAGGAGGUAGCAGAUAGUCUUAGAUCUUGCUUCUCUCCUAUUUGGUGAGUCUUAGAAGGAAAACAGUCGGCUUUUAUCUGCUUUUGGAACUAGAACAUCAGAUUUUUACCCAUCUGAUAUAAUACCGAACGUCCGUGCAUCGAGUGCCUACCAGGCCUCAGAUAUUGUAAAGGUACUUGACACACAGGAUUUCAUUUAGCCCUCACCUUAAUCCAGUGAGGCGGGCACUAUUGUUCCCAGGUUGCAGAGGAGUCUGAGGCAUGACCAAGGAUACAAAUCCAGGCCUGCUGCUUCAUGGCACCCUCUGUCCUAAAGGAGCUUACAGUUGGUUGUGAAAACGAGCCGCACCUAUAGAGCUGUAAGGUGAAACAAAGUACGGCAAUAUUUGUCAAAGCUUGAUCCCUUAGUUUUAGGUAAAAAAAUUGUUAUGAACCUCCAAUGUUGAUUUACUUUUAUAAAUGACUUAAAUAUGCCCAAAUCUAAAUCUCACGUAAACUCCUUAUACUGCUAAUAUUUUGAUGCCUCUCCUUAUAGACACACAUGUAUUGGGGGGCUUAUUUUAUAUUUGUAUUGUGAUUUUUUUUUUGUUUCUCACAUGUCAGCAUUUUCCUAUGUCAGUAACAAAAUUUUAAAAGUUGAUAUGUUUUCAUUUGUGCACCAAUAUAGGGAUUGCACCAUAUAUUCAACCAUUCCCCUAUAGUUGGGCAUUUAGGUUUCUGAUUUGUGCCAUUAGAAAGCCCACUGUGAUGUGCCAUUUUUGCACGUGAACCUUUGGCUGUCUUUCUGAUUAUUUCCUUGGAGUUAAUACUCAGGAGUGAAAUUACUGGGUCAAAGGGCACAAACAUUUUUAAGGCUUUUAAACAUAUCUCCAGGAAGGUUGUACUAAUAUGUUUGCAUCUGCUAUCGAAGGAUCACUUUGAGGCCUAGGAGGUGUAAGAAGUAAGUGGCAUUUGAACAAGAACUUCAAGGGUGGGCACGGCUCCCACCAGUGCAGGUGGGUGGAGGCGUUUCGGGUGGGAGAUACCAUCACCAGACUCAAGGGACAGAAUACAAGGCGCCUGGGGGAAGGGUGAACAUUCUGAUUUAGUUAGUGCUCUGUCAGCCAUUUUAUGUAUUGAGCACACUAGAAUGUUAAAAUUCUGAGAACAUAAAAUGCUCAAAAUAUGAAACAACUCGGCAAUGAUGUUAAGAUAGUCACCACUGUGGUAUAAUGUUGUCUACAUGUGCAAAAGCAUCACCAUUAUUGUACCAUUUCUUGCUCCCCUUGGCUCUGUGUUCGAAUAGAACUAUCUGACGAUGUCACUGUGGUCUCAAAUAUUAUCAGGACAAUGUUCCAGAAGGCACGCUGUGUUUGGUGUUGGCAUGGAGCCACACUGGGUCGCUACUGUCAUUCAUCACCUGACCAUUCAGCCCUGUGCUCCCCUUGAUAGCCUUCCCACGGUGGUAUCAUGUUGUGGUUAAGAGAAGUGAAGAAGAAAAGAAACCAGACUGCCUGGGUUCCAAUUCCAGCUCUACCAUUGAUUGUUUGUGUGGCCUUAUGCAAAGUACUUAACCUUUGUGCCUCAAUUUCUUCAACUGUAAAAUGGAGUUGAUGUUAUCUACCUUUCUAGGAUUAUCUGGAGGAUUAAAUGAGUUAAUAAACAUAAAGCAUGUGAAACA